rnacentral:rRNA from 1 species
CAGGGUCUCCUGCCGCUGUUCCUCCGGGCGGUGGCGAGGCUGGCGGCGUGCGUCGCGAGCAGGCCGCCGGCGGCGGUUGCGGCGACCGUGCUGUACCACGGCGGGGCGCUGCCGAGGGACCCCCGGCUGGAGCGGCUGGUCUGCGACGGCAUGCUCGACGGCGGCGGCGGCGACAGCCGCAUCCUGCAUUUCGUCGUCGGCGUCAUGAGGUCCCUGGGCUAG